GAACCAUGUCUGAGCGCGGCGUCCUCAGGACGGUGCACCUGGAGCAGGACGUGAGCGAGAGCGUGGUGGACAUCUACGUCAGCGCCGAGAGCCUGCGGGUGUACGACAGUCCCUGGGUGGAGGAGGUGUCUCCGGCCCCCCCCGGGGGCCCGCCGGCCCCCCGGGGGCCCCGCGGGCCCUGCACGCAGUGUCUUUAGUCGGUGGAAAGUCCAGAAAGAGGCGUCACGCCAGAUGUGACUCGGUGUUUCUGGGCGUCGUCUGUCUUCUUCUGCUCGUCGGGGUCGUCUACAUGGCAGUCAAGAUGAAUAAGGACAAGCUGGCCUGGGGGCGGGAGAAGCGCCAGCUCCGCUCAAACAACGAGCGGUUGACCGACCGCAACGCCCAGCUCAGCGCGCAGAGAGACGCCCUGCAGAGGAAGCUCCAGGAAGAGAUGAAUAAAUGCAGGAAUCCCGCUGGCCGGAGGAGAGACGAGCGCCCGCCAGCGAGCUGACGCCCAAGCCCCUUUUUUCUUGUGUGAUACUUUCAUGCUGUCAUCCUGUUAAGUGUUUAAAGUGACAUAUUUAUGUGAUAUUUAGUUGGAUGCUUGUGUUUCCUCCAGCAGAAACAUGUGAGCUGGUUGAAUCUUUGUCUUUUCUUUUGUUUUGUUUUUACAAAAUACCCUUAAAAAUAAAUACAUUAAACAUAAAA